AGUGAACGCUGGCGGUAGGCCUAACACAUGCAAGUCGAACGGCAGCACAGUAAGAGCUUGCUCUUACGGGUGGCGGGUGGCGGACGGGUGAGGAAUACAUCGGAAUCUACUUUUUCGUGGGGGAUAACGUAGGGAAACUUACGCUAAUACCGCAUACGACCUACGGGUGAAAGCAGGGGAUCUUCGGACCUUGCGCGAUUGAAUGAGCCGAUGUCGGAUUAGCUAGUUGGCGGGGUAAAGGCCCACCAAGGCGACGAUCCGUAGCUGGUCUGAGAGGAUGAUCAGCCACACUGGAACUGAGACACGGUCCAGACUCCUACGGGAGGCAGCAGUGGGGAAUAUUGGACAAUGGGCGCAAGCCUGAUCCAGCCAUACCGCGUGGGUGAAGAAGGCCUUCGGGCUGUAAAGCCCUUUUGUUGGGAAAGAAAAGCAGCAGGUUAAUACCCCGCUGUUCUGACGGUACCCAAAGAAUAAGCACCGGCUAACUUCGUG
rnacentral:rRNA from 1 species